rnacentral:misc_RNA from 1 species
GCACACAAACGCACAACCCACCUUCUCCGUCCCCCCCCCCACACACACGCACACACGUGUAGGGUAGUACGUAGUGGAUUCUAGCUCUCAUCCACUUCAACUUCCUCCGACCCUGACGGACUGCGGGGUGUGUCUCGUAUACGUGUACUCAUGUGUUUCAGAGGCUCUCCAUCAUCAUCGAUACAGAUCUGUGACGUGCCGUAGCACCUGCCAACGCAGACACACCCCUUUUGCCUCCAUCCCCCCCCCGGCGCACUGAGUAGACGACGACACCACAGCAACGGCAUUCUCAUCCUCGUUUUUUUUUUCGUAGCAGUGUCGGGGCAGAGGCUCCCUCCUGUAAUCCCUCCCCACACUUCCAUCAUUUCCAUCCCGACGUCCUCUUAGCGAUCCUCCUUCUUUCCCUUCACGUGCCUCCAUGCCAAAGGUAACGACCUCGUCAUCCUCCUCCAAGUCGCACGCCGCUUCGUCCGUGGAUUCCAGCCGCGCAGCAGCAACUGCGGCUGCCCCCACCUCCGUGACAUCAGCCACCAGCACCAUACGAUCUCUGUGGGAUCGCACGUUCUCGAAUGGCGACACAUACCACGGGGAGGCGCUCUACGUCCACGACAAGGACCGCAAACCCGUGAAAGAUGGGAAGGGGCGCUACACGUGGGCUUCCAGCGGGGCCGUCUACGACGGCGACUGGAAGGGCGGACUGCCACACGGCACGGGCGUGAUAAGCGUGCCUGGAAUCGACGGCUACGAGUAUGCGGGGGAGUUCAAAGAUGGAAAGCGCAGCGGUAAGGGGCGCUGCCAGUUUUCCAACGGUCGUGUCUACGAAGGCGAUUGGAGAGAAGACGAGAUGAACGGGACGGGAACCCUGUGCGGCGCAUCGAACGUGGACAACUUUACUGAAUACACCGGCGGCUUCCAGAACGGGAUGCGCAGCGGGCGGCAGGGGAGGUGUGUCUACGUUAACGGAGACGUCUAUGAAGGCUCCUGGGCUGCAGGGAAGCGCCAGGGAUUCGGGGAGUGGCAGCUGCACAGGCCGGCAACCGGCGCUGCCGCCGCAGCUCGCCCUGUACGCUACCGGGGCGCUUUUGACGGCGACGCGCCACAAGCUAGCAGCACGGGCGAGGGGGAGAUCGAGUAUGCGGAUGGCAGCUUCUACACCGGUGGCACUGAUGCGCAGAUGCGGCGGCACGGCAAGGGUGUUCACCAUCUCUCUAGCGGGGUUGUUUUUGAAGGCUCUUUUGCGCAGGACCGGCGCGAGGGCAGGGGCGUUCUGCAGGGAGGCGACGGCGCUGUGUGCGAGGGCCAUUGGCACAAUGACCAGCUCAAUGGAGAGGUGCGGGUCACCUUUGCCGUCGCGUCGUCAUCGAUCGCCACCUCCUCGACAUCCAUUGCGAGUCUGCUGCGACUGAGCCAGUCAGAGUACGCCGCCCACCCGAUGAAGACGUAUCAUGGCCCCUGUAUUGCGGGCAUGUUCACCGGCGCCCCUGCUGUCAUCACGUACAUGGAUGGGAGCAGCUACAACGGCGCUGUGCGCAACGGUGUCCCUCACGGCUCGGGAGUGCUGCGCGAUCGGCCCUUGCCCUGCUCUACUGGCACCCGCGGCAUGGACCCUGACAUCGCUGUUCGCAAGCGCAUUCCAUCCACGUGCGUGCCGCAUGACGUUCUUCUCACGCUUACCUGCUACGAGGGGACCUUCUCCAACGGCGAGGCGGACGGCAACGGCACCGGAGAGUGGCGGACGGACUCGUCAACACAGCAACCCCCACCAGCAACGUCGUCACCGACAGAGGCGCCGAUCACGCCUCACAACUUCAUGCAAGUACUUGGGACGGGGCUGCGCUGCUGGGACCCGGCCAUGUAUGGACGACUGGGCGGAACUUACACUGGACAGUGGGCGCGUGGCCUCCCGCAUGGGCAGGGAACCUGGCAGUGGUCGGACGGGUCGCGCUACUCUGGCGCGGUGGCGCAGUAUGUGCCCAGCGGCGCCGGCACCUUGACGAGCGCGUCAUCUGUCCAGUACACGGGCGACCUUCAGGAAGGCCAGGCAGGAGGAAAGGGAGUCUGGGAGGACAAGGCGCGGGGCCUCAAGUACGAGGGACAGUGGCUGGCUGGUCAGCCACACGGGUGGGGUGUGGCCACGUUGCUGACCGCAGCAUCCCCAUCCUCACUGCAAGCAUCCACGCCAAAAUGGUCGGUGAGUUCGCGCGUGUACGAGGGGUCGUGGGCAAACGGGAAGCCAUGUGGCCAAGGCAGGGAGUACACCACUGAGGAUCGUCGCCGCGUUGCCUACGAGGGCGGCUACGUCGACGGUUACCGCGAGGGUGAAGGAACCAUUUCUUUUAGUGGCACGGGCGACACCACCGGCGACACAAGCCUGUCGCCGCACUACCUGAAGUACAAGGGCAGCUUUAGUAGAGGCGUUCCCGGUGGCGGCGUUGGUUGCUUGACCCUUCGCAACAAAACCAGCAUUGAGGGCUGCUUCGAUGCACAGCUGCAGCCGCUGGCCGGCAGGGAUGUCACCAUUAAGUCCGGCAACGAGACGUGGACGUUCAAGGGUGUCUACGACGCGGCGAAGCACAUAGGGUGUGGUGUGAUGACCUUUGCAAACGGUGACGUGUACGUCGGCGAGGUUGAAGACGCCAGCUGCGGAGGCGGGUGGCAGCAGCAGCAGCAGCAGCCUCUUUUCCAUCUGCAGUGCCACGGCCGUGGCACUUACAAGUUCGUCGAGGGAAACCAACUCCACUGCACAUGGCGGCACAAUGUCCUCCACGGCGCCGGCACAUACACGUCGUCGGACGGUGUGAAAACAGAGCGAAACUAUGCAGAUGGAGUGCUGGCGGGUGGUGGAGUAGUUGCCACUGCUGGAGGUGGCAUCGGCGGCGGCGCUGGCGGCGCGCACGUUGAAGCGGACACCGGCGUCUUGAGGGGCAACGUCUUCACUCCUGAGAAUGAGUUCCCAAACACGCUGUCGGCGGAGGUGUUGAAGUCCCGCGUGCCAGAGUUGCAGCAGCAAUCACAGUCGCAGUCGCGAAAGCGACAGCCCUUCUCCUUCAUGCGCAAGGGGGAAGCCCGCCGAGCCUCCGCGGCAGGUGGGGCGGCGGCGACGGCGGCGGCGCCCGGCGGUGUUGCCUCUGUAGGGGCAUCCUCGGCUACGCCAGCGCAGCGACGUAGUUUACAACGCGACUCGAAGGACGCAAAGAGGCAGCCGGCCCCGCCGGCGGCCGCCGCAAACCAAAAACGUAGCCCUCGUACCUCUGUCAUGAGUUCUGCGGCGACAAACGACACUGAUGCCAAUGGACAUGUCGGUGCCGGCAGCCCCCCGCGCGCGGCCUGUUGCGGCACUCUGUCGUCAACCAAGGGUGCGUCCCCUGCUGUCUCGCCGUUGCGCUCGACGGCCAAGUACACCCUGAGGCGACCCCAGCGGACGGCAAGGAAUGCGCCCCCUCGUGCCGCAGCGGCUUCCUCCGCUGACGAAGCGUCACCGAUUGCCACGGCGCCGACAAACGCGCGACCCGCCUUCAUCCACCAUGCCAAGGACGGCGACCAUGGCGCUGGCGCCACCGUACCAACGUCCUCUGCGUACCUCUCGAAGUUUCAGGCGGGCAUCGGCCUGCUCGACGCCAUACCGCGAGCUGACUCGCCCACCCCUUCCACGGGAUCCCGCAACCUGACGCUGACAGCAAAAGGCUCGCCAUGCCCCGUCACCGCACCGGCGCAGUCCGGCUCACGAGGCCGACUCAGCUCUGCGCUGGCAGCGGGGCGAGCCCAAGAGAUUCAGCAGCGGGUACUCAAGCCUCUCAAGGGCUCUCUUAAGGCACUGAUGGAUGAGGCGAGUUCGAUACGCAGCACCCGCGAGGAUGAGAUCCAUCUGCUCACAGAGGAGAUGCGGGAGCUGAAUGAGCGCAUUUGGCAGCUGCGCUUCACGCUGGGAUCCAAGGAAGAGGAAGAUGGUGGCAGGGGCGCGGGCAAGAAGGCCUACGCUGCGGCAGCACCGCCAACCAAACCGGAAAGGAAGCGAUCAUCCGUCUCGAAAGAGGCCCUCGACAGCCUCGUGCAGGAGCGGCGCGUAGUGAUGGAAAAGCUGCAGUAUGUCGUGAACGAGCACGGGGAUUAGCAGCCUUGUGUGGGCGUUUGAGGGCGUGUGCGACGCUGAGCUGGUUUGUGGGCGUAGGUCUCCUCGUAUCACCGACACGGGCGAGUCAACAUAGUCAAAGAACGAAUCGAUGUAAAAGAAGAGGAAAAAGAGAGAUGCCCCCCCCCCCCCAAAGACGGGAAAAAGCAGCCAUCGAGGUAUGGGGGAAAGGGGAGUGAGUCGAUGGAAUGCAAAUAGUGAUUGUUGUGGAACGCUUUAUUCAUGGUGGCGUGGGUAUGAUGACGCUUCUAUCCUCUACCUCCUUCUUGUUCCGUUUGUGGUGUCGUCUCGAACAGGAGCGCUUGCUCUUCGUGCUUCAUUCCUUUACGUUCUCCUCUGAUUCUUUUUUCUUUUACGUGUGUGUGUAUGUGUCGAUUCGAUCCUGUGUCGAAGUGAGUGCCACAGGAACCUUCGCAGUUCCCUCUGCAUGCUGUGUCGUGUUGCAGGCUCUCCCCCUCCUCCCCCUUCGUUACACCGCGCCCUUCUGCAUCCUUGCUCCAUCGAGCGGCCACAGCUGAUUCAUCUACGGUCGUCCUUGUGUGAGAGAGGUAGGGGUGGGGGAACGGCGCUUUCGUGCCUCUUGCACACGCUACACGAAUCC